rnacentral:tRNA from 1 species
GGGAGAGAAACUCAAUUGGUUGAGUAUUAGUCUGUCGCAUUAAGAGGUUGCGGGUUCGAAUCCCGUCUCUCUCG